rnacentral:rRNA from 1 species
AUUGAACGCUGGCGGCAUGCCUUACACAUGCAAGUCGAACGGUAACAGGUCUUCGGAUGCUGACGAGUGGCGAACGGGUGAGUAAUACAUCGGAACGUGCCUAGUAGUGGGGGAUAACUACUCGAAAGAGUGGCUAAUACCGCAUGAGAUCUACGGAUGAAAGCAGGGGAUCGCAAGACCUUGUGCUACUAGAGCGGCCGAUGGCAGAUUAGGUAGUUGGUGGGAUAAAAGCUUACCAAGCCGACGAUCUGUAGCUGGUCUGAGAGGACGAUCAGCCACACUGGGACUGAGACACGGCCCAGACUCCUACGGGAGGCAGCAGUGGGGAAUUUUGGACAAUGGGCGAAAGCCUGAUCCAGCAAUGCCGCGUGGGGGAUGAAUGGCUUCGGCCCGUAAACCCCUGUCAUUUGCGAUCAAACCUUCCGACCUAAUACGUCGGAAGCUGAUAGUAGCGAAAGAGGAAGGGACGGCUAACUCUGUGCCAGCCGCCGCCGUAA